GAUGAAGAACGCAGCGAAAUGCGAUAAGUAGUGUGAAUUGCAGAAUUCAGUGAAUCAUCGAAUCUUUGAACGCACAUUGCGCCCUUUGGUAUUCCUUAGGGCAUGCCUGUUCGAGCGUCAUUUGAAACCUCAAGCUCAGCUUGGUGUUGGGUGUCUGUCCCCGCCUCACCGCGGGGACUCGCCUCAAAAUCAUUGGCGGCCGGUACGUUGGCUUCGAGCGCAGCAGAAACGCGAACUCGAGGCCCGGCGGAUCGGCGACCAGAAGUCACUUCUUCACAGUUUGACCUCGGAUCAGAUAGGGAUACCCGCUGAACUUAAGCAUAUCAAUAAGCGGAGGA
rnacentral:misc_RNA from 1 species